CCUACGGGAGGCAGCAGUGGGGAAUAUUGGACAAUGGGGGGAACCCUGAUCCAGCGACGCCGCGUGAGUGAAGAAGUAUUUCGGUAUGUAAAGCUCUAUCAGCAGGGAAGAAAGGAAUGACGGUACCUGACUAAGAAGCCCCGGCUAACUACGUGCCAGCAGCCGCGGGAAUACGGAGGGGGCAAGCGUUAUCCGGAUUUACUGGGUGUAAAGGGAGCGUAGGCGGUUACGCAAGGCUGGAGGGAAAGGCGGGGGCCCAACCCCCGGACUGCUUUGGAAACUGUAGAACUGGAGUGCAGGAGAGGUAAGUGGAAUGCCUAGUGUAGCGGUGAAAUGCGUAGAUAUUAGGAGGAACACCAGUGGCGAAGGCGGCUUACUGGACUGUAACUGACGUUGAGGCUCGAAAGCGUGGGGAGCAAACAGGAUUAGAUACCCGAGUAGUC
rnacentral:rRNA from 1 species